UAAACAAACUUGGAAAUAGCUGGUUCUCUCCGAAAACUAUUUAGGUAGUGCCUCAGGUAUUACUGACGGGGGUAGAGCACUGUUAUGGCUAGGGGGUCAUCGCGACUUACCAACCCAUGGCAAACUCCGAAUACCGUCAAGUACGAGCCUGGGAGACAGACAUCGGGUGCUAACGUCCGGUGUCAAGAGGGAAACAACCCAGACCGCCAGCUAAGGUCCCAAAUGACAUGCUAAGUGGUAAACGAGGUGGGAAGGCAUAGACAGCCAGGAUGUUGGCUUAGAAGCAGCCAUCAUUUAAAGAAAGCGUAAUAGCUCACUGGUCGAGUCGUCCUGCGCGGAAGAUGUAACGGGGCUCAAACUAGUAACCGAAGCUGCGGAUAUGACUUAGGUCAUAUGGUAGGAGAGCGUUCUGUAGGCCUGCGAAGGUGGUGGUGUAAACCCUGCUGGAGGUAUCAGAAGUGCGAAUGCUGACAUGAGUAGCGAUAAAGCGGGUGAAAAGCCCGCUCGCCGAAAGCCCAAGGUUUCCUACGCAACGUUCAUCGGCGUAGGGUGAGUCGGCCCCUAAGGCGAGGCAGAAAUGCGUAGUCGAUGGGAAACAGGUUAAAAUUCCUGUACCGAUUAUGAGUGCGAUGGGGGGACGGAGAAGGGUAGCUCAGCGGCCUGUUGGAAUAGGUCGUUUAAGCCGGUAGGCAGAUCAAUCAGGCAAAUCCGGUUGGUCAAUGCCGAGACGUGAUGACGAGGGUCUACGGACCUGAAGUGAGUAAUCCCAUGCUUCCAGGAAAAGCCUCUAAGCUUCAGCUCAUAAUCGACCGUACCGCAAACCGACACAGGUGGGUAGGAUGAGAAUUCUAAGGCGCUUGAGAGAACUCAGGAGAAGGAACUCGGCAAAUUGACACCGUAACUUCGGGAGAAGGUGUGCCCCGGUAGGUUGUAGUCCCUCGCGGACGAAGGCCGAUGGGGUUGCAGUGAAAUGGUGGCUGCGACUGUUUAAUAAAAACACAGCACUCUGCAAACACGAAAGUGGACGUAUAGGGUGUGACGCCUGCCCGGUGCCGGAAGGUUAAGUGAUGGGGUGCAAGCUCUUGAUCGAAGCCCCGGUAAACGGCGGCCGUAACUAUAACGGUCCUAAGGUAGCGAAAUUCCUUGUCGGGUAAGUUCCGACCUGCACGAAUGGCGUAACGAUGGCCACACUGUCUCCUCCUGAGACUCAGCGAAGUUGAAAUGUUUGUGAAGAUGCAAUCUCCCCGCGGCAAGACGGAAAGACCCCAUGAACCUUUACUGUAGCUUUGCAUUGGACUUUGAACCGAUCUGUGUAGGAUAGGUGGGAGGCUAUGAAACCGGGACGCUAGUUUCGGUGGAGCCAUCCUUGAAAUACCACCCUGGUUUGUUUGAGGUUCUAACCAUGGUCUGUGAAUCCAGAUCUGGGACCGUGCAUGGUAGGCAGUUUGACUGGGGCGGUCUCCUCCCAAAAGGUAACGGAGGAGUACGAAGGUACGCUAGGUACGGUCGGACAUCGUGCUAAUAGUGCAAUGGCAUAAGCGUGCUUGACUGCGAGACCCACAAGUCGAGCAGGUGCGAAAGCAGGUCAUAG
rnacentral:rRNA from 1 species